AUAUUUAUAUAAAGGAGAAUAGAGACCAGCUUCCAGCCAAUGUGAUUUUACAAAAAACCCCAUAAAAAGCUUCCGGUUCAUGUGCAUUUACGGAAAAACAAUUAACACCAACAUUUUCGUAUUUGUCCUAAGGGUCGAUUGAGGAGCUUCCGUAUUCCAAGCGGAUAUGUUCUUCAGAGAGUGGCACAUGAGGAUUGGUAAAAUGUGGUAGAUACUACAUGUUUAUUCACUGCUCUUCUGGCUAGUUUUAAUCUUCUUGCUCACCUUUCUUUCAUCUGUCCGAUUCUCGCUAAAGCUACUUCAUGAUUUAUUUUACUUUCUCAUGUUGUUCUUCGAGUUGGUACUAUGUAAUAUUUCUCUCUGUUAUUAGAUGAGUUCUAUUUUUCCAGUUUUUUCUUUUCCUUUUCCCGCGUUCUGGAAUUAUUGUUGCUUCUUUUUAUCUGAAAAUCUCGGAGAACAUGAGCUAUCUUGCUUAAAUAGGAUAGUGCAGAGACAUGGCUAUUUUGCUCAUUUUCCUGAAUGAAUUAUUCCAUUGUAUAAUUGCUUCUACACUGCAAUUCUAAAUAUAUAUUUCAGUUGCUCCUUACCUGGCUAAAUAUGGAACAAUGGUGGAGUUUGAGAACAAACUGAAAUAAUCUUUGACAUAUUUCACUGGUUUUCUGGAGUUGAUUUGGAUUAGAGCUUGGGAAAUUGGACGAGGGAAGAGAAGUGAGGAGAAGAGAGAAACACAUCGGAAAAGGGGAAAAUUCUAAUUAGUAAAGCUAUUGUAUUAAGAAAUAUGUUGGGGCUCUGUGCUCUUUCUUUUUGCUGCGAACAACCGAACCCUUGCCACAUUCUUCUAAAUUACGUAUAAUAUUAGUAGUUCUUUAUGCCAUGUUCAACAAUAAGGUAGUUCAAGAAGUUCCAAUUUGAUAGACUUCAAAUGAUGAUCAACUGCAGUACAUCAAGUGGGUGGAAAUAAGCUUAUAGCUAAGCUUUGCAGUGAUGUUCAGUUUCCGUAGUAAAGUUUCAAUAAUCUAUUAAUCUCUACUAUAUAUAGACAAGUAUACUCAAGGUUAGUUGAAAAUCAAUUCUCCAACUUAUAGGAAGAGCAACACCCUAGAAAUCCUCACUGUGUUUGGUUGUCCUAAGCCUUUCUAGAUCAUUGAAUGAAUGAUGUUUUAUGAAUGAUGAUCAUAUACCACAAUAUGUUGGAACUAUAGCCUCGGAGUAUAGACCUUUCAGGAUGUGUAUUUUCUAUAAUUUCCUAUAAAAUACCUCAAUUUUCUUUUGUUUGUUAACUCGAUGCGUGAUUUUAAUUAUUUGACUAUUCCGUUUUGGGUAUUGUUACUGUUAUAGCAUCAGUUUUGAGUGAAA
rnacentral:lncRNA from 1 species